rnacentral:rRNA from 1 species
UAGUGGCGAACGGGUGAGUAACACGUGGGCAAUCUGCCCUUCACUCUGGGACAAGCCCUGGAAACGGGGUCUAAUACCGGAUAACACUNUUCCCUGCAUGGGGGAGGGUUGAAAGCUCCGGCGGUGAAGGAUGAGCCCGCGGCCUAUCAGCUUGUUGGUGGGGUGAUGGCCUACCAAGGCGACGACGGGUAGCCGGCCUGAGAGGGCGACCGGCCACACUGGGACUGAGACACGGCCCAGACUCCUACGGGAGGCAGCAGUGGGGAAUAUUGCACAAUGGGCGGAAGCCUGAUGCAGCGACGCCGCGUGAGGGAUGACGGCCUUCGGGUUGUAAACCUCUUUCAGCAGGGAAGAAGCGUGAGUGACGGUACCUGCAGAAGAAGCGCCGGCUAACUACGUGCCAGCAGCCGCGGUAAUACGUAGGGCGCAAGCGUUGUCCGGAAUUAUUGGGCGUAAAGAGCUCGUAGGCGGCUUGUCGCGUCGGAUGUGAAAGCCCGGGGCUCAACCCCGGGUCUGCAUUCGAUACGGGCAGGCUGGAGUGUGGUAGGGGAGAUCGNAAUUCCU